GAUGAACGCUGGUGGCGUGCCUAAUACAUGCCAGUCGAGCGAACAGAUGAGGAGCUUGCUCCUCUGACGUUAGCGGCGGACGGGUGAGUAACACGUGGAUAACCUACCUAUAAGACUGGGAUAACUUCGGGAAACCGGAGCUAAUACCGGAUAAUAUAUUGAACCGCAUGGUUCAAUAGUGAAAGACGGUUUUGCUGUCACUUAUAGAUGGAUCCGCGCCGCAUUAGCUAGUUGGUAAGGUAACGGCUUACCAAGGCAACGAUGCGUAGCCGACCUGAGAGGGUGAUCGGCCACACUGGAACUGAGACACGGUCCAGACUCCUACGGGAGGCAGCAGUAGGGAAUCUUCCGCAAUGGGCGAAAGCCUGACGGAGCAACGCCGCGUGAGUGAUGAAGGUCUUCGGAUCGUAAAACUCUGUUAUUAGGGAAGAACAAAUGUGUAAGUAACUAUGCACGUCUUGACGGUACCUAAUCAGAAAGCCACGGCUAACUACGUG
rnacentral:rRNA from 1 species